AAGCAUAUCAUCUUUAUGGGAUCCUUCAUUUCGUUGCGGUUUUCUCGCCGAGAUUCUGGGAAUAUGUUCAACCACGAUGAGGACUGUUAGUGAAAUCCUCUGGGGGGGGAAGGGGCUCUCAAGGUUGUGUUUGAGAGUUGAGGACCGUUUUUACUCGUUUACCGUGUUGAGAGAAGGAUCACACAAGCUGAGGGGU